UAGCUAGUUGGUGAGGUAACGGCUUACCAAGGCGACGAUCUGUAGCGGGUCUGAGAGGAUGAUCCGCCACACUGGAACUGAGACACGGUCCAGACUCCUACGGGAGGCAGCAGUGGGGAAUUUUGGACAAUGGGGGCAACCCUGAUCCAGCCAUGCCGCGUGAGUGAAGAAGGCCUUCGGGUUGUAAAGCUCUUUCGGCCGGGAAGAAAUCGCAUGGGCCAAUACCCUGUGUGGAUGACGGUACCGGAAUAAGAAGCACCGGCUAACUACGUGCCAGCAGCCGCGGUAAUACGUAGGGUGCGAGCGUUAAUCGGAAUUACUGGGCGUAAAGCGUGCGCAGGCGGUUUUGUAAGACAGGCGUGAAAUCCCCGGGCUCAACCUGGGAACUGCGUUUGUGACUGCAAGGCUAGAGUACGGCAGAGGGGGGUGGAAUUCCACGUGUAGCAGUGAAAUGCGUAGAGAUGUGGAGGAACACCAAUGGCGAAGGCAGCCCCCUGGGUCGAUACUGACGCUCAUGCACGAAAGCGUGGGUAGCAAACAGGAUUAGAUACCCUGGUAGUCCACGCCCUAAACUAUGUCAACUAGGUGUUGGGUGGGUAAAACCAUUUAGUACCGUAGCUAACGCGUGAAGUUGACCGCCUGGGGAGUACGGCCGCAAGGUUAAAACUCAAAGGAAUUGACGGGGACCCGCACAAGCGGUGGAUGAUGUGGAUUAAUUCGAUGCAACGCGAAAAACCUUACCUACCCUUGACAUGCCAGGAACUUGCCAGAGAUGGCUUGGUGCCCGAAAGGGAGCCUGGACACAGGUGCUGCAUGGCUGUCGUCAGCUCGUGUCGUGAGAUGUUGGGUUAAGUCCCGCAACGAGCGCAACCCUUGUCGUUAAUUGCCAUCAUUUAGUUGGGCACUUUAGCGAGACUGCCGGUGACAAACCGGAGGAAGGUGGGGAUGACGUCAAGUCCUCAUGGCCCUUAUGGGUAGGGCUUCACACGCCAUACAAUGGUCGGUACAAAGGGUCGCCAAGCCGCGAGGUGGAGCCAAUCCCAGAAAGCCGAUCGUAGUCCGGAUUGCAGGCUGCAACUCGCCUGCAUGAAGUCGGAAUCGCUAGUAAUCGUGGAUCAGCAUGUCACGGUGAAUACGUUCCCGGGUCUUGUACACACCGCCCGUCACACCAUGGGAGCGGGUUCCGCCAGAAGUAGGUAGCCUAACCGCAAGGAGGGCGCUUACCACGGCGGGGUUCGUGACUGGGGUGAAGUCGUAACAAGGUAGCCGUAGGGGAACCUGCGGCU
rnacentral:rRNA from 1 species